rnacentral:rRNA from 1 species
CCUACUGGAGGCUGCAGUGGGGAAUAUUGGUCAAUGGGCGCAAGCCUGACCCAGCAACGCCGCGUGAAGGAAGAAGGCUCUCGGGUUGUAAACUUCUUUUCUCAGGGACGAAGCAAGCGACGGUACUUGAGGAAUAAGCCACGGCUAACUACGGGCCAGCACUCGCUGUAAUACGUAGGUGGCAAGCGUUAUCCGGAUUUACUGGGUGUAAAGGGCUGCUAGGCGGGACUGCAAGUCAGAUGUGAAAACCAUGGGCUCAACCUAUGGCCUGCAUUUGAAACUGUGGUUCUUGAGUACUGGAGAGGCAGACGGAAUGCCUAGUGUAGCGGUGAAAUGCGUAGAUAUGAGGAGGAACACCAGUGGCGAAGGCGGUGUGCUGGACACCAACUGACGCUGAGGCGCGAAAGCGUGGGGAGCGAACAGGAUUAGAUACCCCGGUAGUC